UAUGAACGUUCUCCCCUCAGCAGCCUCCACUUAAGCCCUGUAUAGCCUAUGUAGCAUCGUGUGACUCAUGCAAUGACAUCCCAUAAUGGAACGUCGAGUUGCUGAUAAGGUCCAGCUGUCGCCAUGGUCAUUCUUCAUUAAUGUCUCUUUCUCUAGUGAUGCUGUCGAUAAGAAGGCCAGUAUACAGUAGGCCAGUAUAGUAUACAGUAAUGUUUGGGUUUUCAAGUGACAUUAUGACGACUACAGUAUGCAUGAAGCAAUCUUAGAAUCAAUAUUGAAAGCCAUAUCCAUGUAAUGGAGCUACUGUAUCAGCAACCCACAUGUCCUACUUCUCCCAUUAAUUUCUCCCCACAGACCUGAAGGGGAGCGUUCUGUUCACAGAUACACUGGCGUGAUGGAGGCCCACAAUUUGUCCUGCAUCAUUUGUUUGGAUCCCUUCACACUCCCAGUCACCGUCCCAUGUGGUCACACCUUCUGUCGAGACUGCAUCACGGCUCACUGGGACACGAAGUCCAUGUCCGACAUGCCCUAUCUGCAAUGAGAAAUUCACCACCGGGCUUGUCCUGAAUCGCAACGUGUCCCUGUCCUCUCUGGCUGAGGCCUCAGCGAACAGUGCCGGUGCAUCCGGUAGAGACACUGUACCAGUUAUGAGGGGCGACAUGGCCAGAGCCAUGACCCUGAUUCUGUGUGACCGACACAAGAAGUCCCUGGUGUACUACUGCCGGACAGACAACGUGUGUGUGCUGUGAGUGUGCCAUCUCUGAGUGUAAGAACCACGAGGAGGUGCUGGUGGAGUGUGAGAGGGAGAACCGAGAGUCACUUCUGCGGAGGAAGAGUGUGGAGGUGGGAAUAUGUAUGGAGGAGACUGAAAGGAGCUGGGCUGACAGAGAAUAUCGCCAAAGCCAAGGUGACCCUACAUCAGACCAACCACUGGGUGAAUGCCAAGUUCUCCAUGCUGUUGAAGGUCCUAGCAGAGAAACAGGAGUCUACAGGGAAACUUCAUUGAGCAGGAGGGGGCUUCUCUCUUCCAGGCAGAGGCUCGGCUAGAGGAGCUGCUACAGGACAGGGCCCAGCAACUCAGGGAAAGCCAGGGCCAGAUCGCAGCCCUUAGCAACCUGUCCGACACCCAGCUAAUACAGGAGUCUCGGCUGGUGGAGGUCCCUAGUAUGAAGGACAUUCUGGUGGAUGUGACCCUUAACCUGCAGGAGAUGCUCAGCGGGGUGACAGACGUCCUGGCCACGACCACCACAUUGGAAUGCUGCUGGAUUACGAGGCGGGAACGCUGACGUACUACGGAGACACUGCAUUCCUUCUACUAUGCCUUCACUCAGGAGCUGUUCCCCCGCCCUCUGCUCGCCAUGACGACAACACGAAAGAGAACAACUGAGCUAACAAUGUCAUAAGGGAAUAGUCUUGCAAAGCUGAUGAGUCUCACCUUACUGUACAGAUGUUUUUACAGUCCUGUUGUGGGACACUGACUUGAACGGUCGCGACUAGUAAGUACAUAUGUGACACGGGACUCGUCUGCACUGUUAAUGUUCUGAAAUGUGUGAUCACUCAGGACAGUGGACUAGUCUUUGGGAUACUGAUGUGGAUUUGCAAGUUCUCAGAACCGUGAGCACAGUUAAGAACUGGAAAUGACUACUGUGCGGGAAACCGGUUUUCCAUAAGAGAAGGGAAAAGCACAUAUCUAGGGUCCCUAAAGGCCAAAGAAAUUUCACAAAAGUUCCUGUUGGAUUUCUACUGAAGCCUGACGUUAAAUGUUUUGCACUACUUUGUGUUGGACGUUGGAACUGGACGAAUAUGGUAUUUAAAAUGUAGUCUUCUGAUUUAGACAGCUUGUCGUUUUGUCAAACAAGGCAAUGACGUAGCGUAUAAAAAUACAUAAAGUCAGGUACCCAGGCUUGCAUCACAAUGUGUACAGAAAAAUGAACUACUGUCAAAUGAAUAAAAUGGACACAAUUCACAUCACAAGAUCAGUUUAAUAAAAAUCCAAUCCAUAUUAGUUACAAUUGAGCCCAUGCUUUGGUCUUUUUAAUAAUAUAUUUGACCAUUUCAAAUGAAUUAAUCAAUAAAUUAGUGGGAACUUGA